GAUGAACGCUGGCGGCGUGCCUAACACAUGCAAGUCGAACGGAGAUUACGGACGGAAGUUUUCGGAUGGAAGCCUGUAAUUCUUAGUGGCGGACGGGUGAGUAACGCGUGGGCAACCUGCCCUAUACAGGGGGAUAGCAGCUGGAAACGGCUGGUAAGACCGCAUAAGUCGGUUAAAUCGCAUGAUUUGAUCGGGAAAUGAGCAAUCAGGUAUAGGAUGGGCCCGCGUCCGAUUAGCCAGUUGGCAGGGUAAAAGCCUACCAAAGCGACGAUCGGUAGCCGGACUGAGGGGUCGGACGGCCACAUUGGGACUGAGACACGGCCCAAAAUCCUACGGGAGGCAGCAGUGGGUGAUAUUGCACAAUGGAGGAAACUCUGAUGCAGCGACGCCGCGUGAGUGAAGAAGUAUUGCGGUAUGUAAAGCUCUAUCAGCAGGGAAGAUGAUGACGGUACCUGACGAAGAAGCCCCGGCUAACUACGUG
rnacentral:rRNA from 1 species